GCGCUGGUGUAUGACUAUCAGUUAUUUUCCGUUCUCAAACUCGAAAUCAUCAAGGCAUCAAAACAUGUGGCCCAGGAAUUCCUUCGUGUUCCUUUUUGGAGCUGUGCUUUUAAUCACCAUAGCUAUGACUCAAGCACAGCCUGGUGAGCCAGGUGAUGUUAGUGUUAUCGUAACUAAAAGACCUCCUCCAACUGGAACACCUACGCCCCCACCUAGGAGACCUACACCCCGAACCAGGAGACCUAGACUCCCUCCACUAGAAAUCCUACGCAUUGAACUAGAAGGCGAACUACGCCGCCAACUAGAAGUACUACGCCUUCAACUAUCAAACGAACUAAGACGCCAACUAAGAGCCCUACGUCUCAGCCUAGAACUCCAAAGUAGGGGCUGAUAAGUGUGCUUUACGAAAUCUCAACUGCCCAUCAAGACCACGUAAUAACUUUAAAAUUGGAGAACCUGCCGUUGAAUGCAAAGUUAAAUGAUUGUUAGAGUGUUAACUAAUUUUUGUUAAAGAUGAAAUUUUAGCCACAAAU